GAUGAACGCUGGCGGCGUGCCUAAUACAUGCAAGUCGAGCGAACGGACGAGAAGCUUGCUUCUCUGAUGUUAGCGGCGGACGGGUGAGUAACACGUGGAUAACCUACCUAUAAGACUGGGAUAACUUCGGGAAACCGGAGCUAAUACCGGAUGAUAUUUUGAACCGCAUGGUUCAAAAGUGAAAGAAGGUCUUGCUGUCACUUAUAGAUGGAUCCGCGCUGCAUUAGCUAGUUGGUAAGGUAACGGCUUACCAAGGCAACGAUGCAUAGCCGACCUGAGAGGGUGAUCGGCCACACUGGAACUGAGACACGGUCCAGACUCCUACGGGAGGCAGCAGUAGGGAAUCUUCCGCAAUGGGCGAAAGCCUGACGGAGCAACGCCGCGUGAGUGAUGAAGGUCUUCGGAUCGUAAAACUCUGUUAGUAGGGAAGAACAUAUGUGUAAGUAACUGUGCACAUCUUGACGGUACCUAAUCAGAAAGCCACGGCUAACUACGUG
rnacentral:rRNA from 1 species